AAAAACAAACUCUUUUCUAUCAACCCAUAAUUUAUGUCCACUACAACAAAUUUGCCAUAUACCAACGGUUGUUUUUAGUAACACAUAUAAAUGCCGUAGGUAUAGAUAUAAUAUACCAACAACCACUAAAGAAGAAGUCCUAGGUAUAGAGAGGUAUUUAGAGAUAGGUAUUUAGUGACAGAGUUAAAUAGUUGGUAUCCCCCAAAAUAAAUAAAAAAUUCAGUCCCGCCUCAAAACUCUGAGUUCCCGCUGCCAAAUACCUAAAUCCUCUUUUACAAGUUGCGUUGCUUCAACUUACCCUUCUCUCCUGCAAAACCCCUAAACGCACCGCCGCAACCUCACCGCCGCCGCUGCAACCUUCAACGAGCAACCUAAACGCACCGCUGCAACCUCACCGCCGCUGCCGCUGCAACCUUCAACGAGCAACCUAAACACACCGCCGCCGCAACCUAAACGCACCCGCCGCUGCAACCUUCAACGAGCAACCUAAAUGCACCGCCGCGACAACCUAAACGCACCGCCGCAACCUCAUCGUCGCCACCGCUACAAUCUUGAAUCAAGAAAUAAAGGCUCGUGUGUUCUUUGGGCAGCCAAUCCACUGUGAACAAGGAAAACAGAUUAUUUAAACAAAACAAACAAUGAAUUAAAAUCUGGCAAAAUAUUAUUAUGAAUUAAAAUCAUCAUCUUUUGAUUCAAACAAAUGGAUAGCAAAUAGACAGUUGAGACAAGCAACUGCAUGAUUCCCAUAAUAGGAUGCUACAUUUAAAAUUUGUAAUUCUGUGAACUAUAUAUAUUUUUGGUUUUAUAUAAAAUUUGUAAUUUGAUGCUAUUUUUGGUUUUAUAUAAAAUUCUCAGAAUAGGAUGCUAUAUAUAUUCUGUGAACUAUAUAUAAAAUUUGUAAUUUGAAAUUCUGUAAUUCUGUGAGCUUAAAAUUUGUAAUUCUGUGAACUAUAUAUAUUUUUGGUUUUAUAUAAAAUUUGUAAUUUGAUGCUAUUUUUGGUUUUAUAUAAAAUUCUCAGAAUAGGAUGCUAUAUAUAUUCUGUGAACUAUAUAUAAAAUUUGUAAUUUGAAAUUCUGUAAUUCUGUGAGCUUAAAAUUUGUAAUUCUGUGAACUAUAUAUAUAAAAAUAAAACAUUAGUUACAGAUUA